UUCUUUACCGGUUUAGUUGAGGCUAUAAAGAAGUUAUCUAUAGAUUACUAAAAAAAAACCCCUGACUGUAAGUAGAAAAUAUCAUACAAGAAAUGAAUCAAAUAUCUAUGGAUAAAAGUUCACUCUCCACCCAAUGAUUCUAAACUAAAAUGAAAUGCAGAGAUUUAAUGCUCCAAUCACUAUUGAUACUUCAAAGAACAAUUCCAAAGGGGUAUCAUACUAGUUAGAACUGGUCCUUGUAUAUUCUGAGUAAUUUACGUUGUCAUGGAUUAAUGAAUUUUGAAUGAAUAAAUGCACCUUCUUGUCCAUCUUGAAAGAGUUUUGGGGAAAAGAAAAAAACAAGAUUGUGUUCGCAUAAAUAAUCUCAACCCACCAUGCACUCAAAUUAUUGGGGUAAAAAAUUGUCAGCACAACUAAUCAUAAUACCAGUGCUUUUAACUUAAUCUCUACAGUUCCAUUUUUGCUGUGAAGAAGUAUGUUAGGAAGCGUGCAGUUGAAAGCUCCAAACAAAGAAGUGGUAAUGAUGGUAACUUCAGUGUAUGAGAAGAAGG
rnacentral:lncRNA from 1 species